AGUCAGUGAUGUGAUGGCACGUGUUACCUGCACCCAAAAUUGAUGUGAAUUCUAAAAUUACAGAGGCCUU
ensembl:snoRNA